rnacentral:rRNA from 1 species
UACGUAGGGUGCAAGCGUUGUCCGGAAUUAUUGGGCGUAAAGAGCUCGUAGGCGGUUUUGUUGCGUCGGCUGUGAAAUCCCGAGGCUCAACCUCGGGUCUGCAGUCGAUACGAGCAAACUAGAGUGUUGCAGGGGAGACUGGAAUUCCUGGUGUAGCGGUGAAAUGCGCAGAUAUCAGGAGGAACACCGGUGGCGAAAGGCGGGGUCUCUGGAACGC